GCGAGACCUUCCCAAGGGUUCCCCCGCGGGCGGGUCCCCAGGCAGGGAAGGGGGUUCCCUGUGCUGGUCGCUGGAGUGAGCGGAGGAGCGGUCAGUGUAGGCACAGGGCGGUGAACCCCAGAGUGGAGCAAAAUCAGCAACUGGCACUUGGCUUUUCCGUUUCUAAAUGUAUUUUAUGCGAUGAGCAGGUACUCUAAUAAGCCAUAUAUUUAGCUCUUUUUUUUCCUUCAUAAAAAUGUAUUCAUACUUGGAUAUAAGUAUAGGUAAGUACUGAUAAAUGCAAAUUUGAGGAUGGUGAAUGCCCGUGUCACUGUGUUAGAGUGCCAGCACUGACCCACACAGAGGGGAAUGUAUGAUGGACCUAUCAGUGUUCUUUGGUUCCUCAAAAUGCAUCCUUGGCCUUCAGAUUUAAAUCACAGAAAAUACUUCAAAAUCCAAUUUUAAAAUGAGGUACUUUUUAAAGUGGAGCAAAUGUGGUGCAGAUGUCAGCAGCUGCAAAGUCCAGUCUGUAAAGCAGUACAGCGUGGCUGCUGCUUAUCACCGAGUUCUCUGCUGAUGCAGCUCACACCUGCUUUGCUCCAGACCUCCCAUCCUGGGUCAGAGUAUCUAUGGACUGUUCACAGUGACAUAUUUUGCUCCACAACCUUUGCUGGUGGACCUCAGUCUGGGAUCAGACUUUUUGCUGAUUAUCCUUAGGAGUUCAUUCUUGGAGAUUUCAUUUUAUUGCUGUUCAGGGUGGUUUGUUUUGCUGCUUAUCGAUGGGUAAGUUAAACAACCCUGGUGUAAAGUCUGUGAUUGCUGGUGUGAUUGCUGCCAUUUAUGGUGUUCUGACACAGUUUCAGGCUUUUCAAGGAAACUGAAAAUGGGGCAGGAUUCUGAGUGUUUUUCAAGAUAGGCUUUGCAAUGGUGCAUUGUAAAUAAUGACUGUUGUACAUGGCUUGCUUAUUUGGGUGUUUAUCCUAUGAGUCUGUUGGCUUGGUUUAAUAGAAUUAGGCAAGCAAUUGUUGGAGGGGAUCCAGUGAACCACUGCCUCACCCAGUCACGAUUUCAAGGUUAAGGCAAUGUCAGAGCUGUGAGAACCUGGUGAUGGAACUCCAGCAUUGUCACUGGUAUUUCCAGUUGUGCAGUGGCACCAUUGGGAAUGAGAUUACAGGCAACUAGAAAGCCUUAUUUAUUCAGCUGUUAUCUCGUGUUUUGUUUUCUCUCUGAGGCUCAGGCCUGUGACAUUGAUGUAGUUCAGUGAAAACCACAGGUCACACUGUGCCUUGGUGUGAGGCUGUGAUCACAGUUGUGAUCCUGUACAGUCAGGAGGUCCUAUGGAAACCUGGGGUGCCUCCCUGCUGGCUGACAUGCCAAAAUAGCCUUUCUUGGGAAAUCAGAGUGCAUACUGGUCUUAUCCUGGUAUGCAGUCAGGACAUAGGUGGGAUUUCCUGUAUCUCAUAGUAUAGGUGCAUUUAUUUACCUUGAGGCAGAUCUCCAGAAGGAAUGGCUGCUAAGCCCAGUUAAAACUUUCCCCUUAGUAGGUAUAGGAUGCUCUAAAUCUGGGCAUGUUUUAAAAAAUGCAGAUUUGUCAAGUGCCAGAAGAGAACUGCUUUUCAUGGUGGACUCACAGACACCAAAGAGGAAGGAGAGGUUCAUGUUUGGCCUUGCAACAAGACAGAUUGCACCUGUGAGAGCUCUGAAAGGGGAAGAGCUCUUCCAGUUAUGCCUGGAUUCUUUGAAGUAGGGGGUGGUUGAAGGCACUGCUUUUCCCAGCCACUCACUCCUGUUAUGUCAGAUAGGUCAUUAGUAAUGGUUUUGCACCACCAGCUCAAAAGUUGUACAAAGGUCCAGGAGAUGGAAAAUUGAAAAAUUAUUGUGUUCACAAAUGCCUUUAAUAUCCCUGUGUAUGCUGAGGUGUAGCUGUGAACCUACUCCUUUUGCUACCACAAUUUUUGCAGGUUGGGGACAAGGAAGCAGAGGGAUGGGUCCUCUGAGGGUGUGAUUUAUGAGUAUGGUUUCUUUGUUUUAGCAGAACCACAGGGCAGUUUAACCGAUUGGUUCAGUUCUGUCUGGUUUAUACUUCCUCUACCUAGUUUGGGGAACAAGUAAUAGUCAGAAUGGAUUUUCUAGUGCCUUAAAAUGCUCCUAUAGAGGAAGAAAGAUUCAUGUAGGGGUUUAGGGCUGCACAGAUACUACAGAUGGAAAAGAUAAAGCAAAUACAGAAAUUGGUGUCAGGCUAGUAUCAGUACAGAAGUGGCAACAUAAGUCAAUGAAACUUUUUCUCACCUGUGGACAUUUAAAGAGUUGGCUUUAAUCUGUUGUCAGAAUGGAAAUCAGGAUGUUCUGAAGUUUGCCAGUGUACAGAAUUCAUGUUCUGGUACACUUCAAUACAACGUCAUACACAGGUCUGCCCUCACCACCUUCUGUCAGCUAGCAUCUUCUGAGUGAAAUCUCUUUCGAAACAGAAUGAAUAUUUUUUUUUAAAAAAAAAGUUUUAAACUGUGCAGACCAAGUUUAUUUUACAGGCAGUUUUAUUUUACAGGCAUUUGAUAUGAGAGGAGGCAAGUGACAUAUUGAUGUAUUCUUAAGGCUCAUAUGAGGUAGCCAGAGAUGAUGAACUAUUUAUCUGAAAAAUCUGUUUCCUUUGGUGCUGAAAAUCUAAAAUCCACUGAGGACAUAAGAAGUCCUUCUUGUUAAGAGAUCCUCUGCAAAAUUUAUGUCAUAAAUUGCCUAAAUUUAGAUGAAAGACCCUUUGAUAACACCAUUUUACGUGAUCCAUGCUCAUGUUAUUGUUGGACAACAUUUUGGAUAUGUUUAAUAUGUCAUGCUUAACAAAGGUUUUUGAAAGACCUUUUCUGUCCUCAGCAUGGAAAAGUUUUUUCACUUCCUUUUCUUCCAUCAAGCUUAUUUUCCCAGCACUUAUCAUCUCUCAUUAUGUCUUAUCUUUCUUCUGGAUAUGAUUGUUUUCCCAGUUCAUACACAGAAGCCCAGUUGACUUCUGAGUGCAAUCUUUCCAUGCCAUGGUACCCAGAGGUUCAGAGAUAAAACUCUGUUUGCUUGGGUAAUGUUGGCGAAUAGAACACAAUACAAUUUUAAAACCUUUUUCUGGAAGAAAAAAAAAAAAAAAGGCUUUGUAUACCUCUGGAGAAUGGAAGUAAAUUACAUUCUUCUAUUAUGUAUGUGAAUCUGAUUAUGGGAACGGUGGAAUUAAUUUAUCUGGUUAUAAAGAACAUGGCAUCUUCUAAAAUGCACAUGAUUAUUUUUAGUUUUGUUGAUUUUAGCUGAACCAUAGACGUUUCUCAGUGUAUAUUACAACUGCAUAUUGCUUUCUGGGACAGAGUGAAUGCAGCACUAGAAAGCAAUUAUGGAACUAAUAUAUUUCCCUGAAAUGUACUUUGUGAUGCAGGAUUUUACUCAUGUUUCUAAAAAUUACUUAAACUUCUGCCUAAAUUAUGCUGGUAUCACAAAUAUGCCACUUAUAUCAAUUUAUCCCAAAGAUACCAUCUUGGUAAGGAGAAGUAUUCCAUUCCAUAACAUUCCAUUGUUACUUCCAUAACAAUGGUUUUCCCCAGGUCCAAAAUGUUUUUUCAGCAAGGAGUGUAAUGCCUGCCUAUUCUGUGCACUGGGGCACCUGCACUGUGAGCCACUAAGAACAGAAAGAACGUGUAUUUUGGCACUAAAACAUGCAAGCAACAAAGCAGGUAGUCAUCAUACAGAAGUAACCCCUUCAAACAAACCCUCUGUCAUCCAGUUUCUGGGUGAAUUCUGUGUAGGAAUCAAUUUUCCUUUUUCUCCUUGUACCACAUGUUGCCACAGUCUCAACUUCAAGAAUGAUCAGAGACCUAUAAAACAUGAUCUAAGGGGAAAGAUUGAAAGAAUUGGGGUUGUUUAGUCUGAAGGAAGGGAAGGUGUUGGGAAAAACUGUAAUUAUCUUUCAAAAUGUAAAAUGUUUCUCUGCAGAGAGAAGGAAUAAGUUUUUCUUUAUGUUCAGUGGGUCUAGAGCAAGAGGUGAUGGACUUGGAGAUUUAAAAUAGACAUUAGGAAAUUAUUUCAAACUGGAAAUGUACUUUGGCACUGAAAAUGAUUAUCUGGGAAUCUCAUUUGCUGAAGGCUUUGAAAGGCAGAUUAGGUCACGUGUCUCAGGAAUGGUUUUAGUUGCAGUAGAUUAUAUGGAGAUAACCCCAAAAAGUUCCUGGCUGGUUUGUUUCUCUCAGGUGAUUUACAGCAGAUGCUUUACUGCUGUGUUGUUUUGAUUCUCACUCUUCCUUAUAUCCUCAGAAAAUACCAGUAAGAAAAGAUGUCAGUAGGUAAAAAAUUGGGUGAGUAGAGUGGGUGGGGACAUUCCCAAUAGCAGAAUACUAAGAAAUGACAGUUCCUGCAGGAAAGCUGGUGUGUUUGAGCAGAGUGUGACAUGCUGACAUGUUCUCCUGACAGGCUUUGGGACACAAGUAUUGGGCUGGCUUUCAACAAGUGGUGCUUAGUCAAUACACAGAAAUCUGUGUUUUAAAUUUUAAUUUUAAAUUUUAAUUGAAGCUUCACUUUUUGCCAUGUUCAAAUAUUUCCUGAAUUUGCUAGGAGUGAACUCUAUCCACAGUUCACCACUAGCCAGUUACACUUUUACUUCCUCCAGCUCUCUGCAACAGUAAGGUAUCCAAAACCAGUAAAGUAUCCAAAAUGCUUGUAAUGCUUUGAAGCAGAGUUGAGGAAUUAAUUGGUUUUUUUGCUGCAAAAUUUUAAACACCCCUUGUUCACCUUCUCCAUAGUCUUCCUGGUUUCCUGAUUUUCACCAUUCUUCCUGUAGCCUAAAAUUUCUCUUUUCUUUCUGUAGGUUACUGUGGGUUAUCUGCAAUAACAAAGUGAUGAAAUGACACUUGAAUACAUUCAUGAAAACCUAGGGAGUGUGACCUGCCAGACAACUCUGCCCAAAUCCAAGAUCACCUAGGUCUUUGUCAUUGCUUGACAGAAAACUGUUGAAACUCUUCCUGGAUACUGAAUGAUGGCUGCAGCCCAGUCCCUUUGUCCGGAGCUGUGGUGGUGCCACAUUGCUGUGACCCCAUUGCACCAGUCAGCACUGCAGGAUCCACUUCCCCAGGGCUGGAUCCUGAUCCCUCUGCCAUAUCAGCCAGGUGAGGAGAAGGACAGACCCCUGCCACCAUCAGGGACAGCCCAAAUCUCUCCUGAGCCUCAUCCAAAAAGGUUCAGUAAUUUACAGUUCCUUAUGGCAAGACACUUCUUCUGGAAUUGUCGUGAACAUUUUAAAAUGUUAUCAGACAAUAAUUGCUAUCACAACUUUUAAUUCUGUGUUUCUGUUUCAAAUUUUCCUCAGUUCAAUCAGAACCAAAAGUUAAUGCCCGUUGGCUAAUUUCCAGUGCAUGCCUCCACAGAACAACUGCUGCCUUUAACUGGUGGGGAGAUCAAGGCUUGAACUGACAAAAGACAUCUGUAUUUUGGAAAACAAAUUAAUGUUUAUGUUUUAAUUUAUAAGUUCCUGGCUCUUUUAUGGUUCCUGUUUUUCAAGUAAUGUCUCUUUGGAUCCCUAGCUGAUGGAGAGUCAAAAUGGAAAAGGCCCAUGAGAGAAUUAUCACAAUAGAACAUCUGGUCUGCAUUGGAAAAAGCUGAGAAAGAUAUUCAACAUCUCUGAGACUGAGGCAGCCAUGAGGCAAUUUGAAAGUCAGUCCAUGAAAAAUUGUGCAGGUUGUGGCCACCUGGGCCAAUCUAGUGUUGUUUUGGGAAGAGCUACUCUGCUCAUGAACAUCUGAAUUUUAAUUUCCCUUUAGCAUGGAUAUGUGAGAGCUGGGAGUGGUAUGAAAGGUGUUUGCUUUCCAUAAUGUUAAUCUGAGUCCCAGCAUUGUCCUAAUUAUGUUGUGGGUUUUUGCCAGUCUCCCAGAUUUCUUUUUAGCAUGUAGGCUGGAGUCAAAAGGAUUUCCCAGGGCUUUUGGCAUAGCUUGACAGAAAAGUGGAUGGAAAGGACUUUGUAUAUUUUUGGAAGAAUAUUUUGCAUCCUGCUUUAAACUAUUCCAGAAGGUAAAAGGACAUUAGCUAGACUGUGUUGGCUCAUGCACUGGUAUGUCACUAGUGGCAAGGAGUUUUAUUCCUGUUUUCUGCAGUCACAGACUGUAAAAAAUGCAAAGAAAUCAUGGACCAGCAAGGGCAGUAAAGGUACCCCUGGAUUCAGAGGGAACAAACUCCUUCCACCACAUGGAACUUUGGUCCUUUAAGUCAUCAUAGCUCAUGCAGAACAGAAACAAUUUGACAUGUAUAACAAGAAACAUUGCAAAUUGUUUGCCAAACAAAGACUUAUACUGCAGAUGGAAGAACUGAUGAAAAUUGUUUAUAGAUGGGGAACUAAAUGUAGAUAUUUUGAGAACAAGGUUGCUGUCUUCCUUGCCAAGACAAACAAAUCUGAUAGACCAUCUCAUUGCUUUAGGCUGCCUGAGGACCCACUGGAAAGUCUAUGGACCUUUUUCCACAGAAAAUUUGUGUAUUGUCAAUACAUAAGUGUAUUGUCCACAGUUACACCAUGGCAGCUGCAGAGGAAAUGGAAGGUUCUCAGGAAUACAUUAGGGAGAGCUGGAUUUUUGGCUUCUGAAAGAGUGUGGAGAGUUUUUGGAAACUGUGGAAGUUUUUAAGCUGGAUGUUACUGCUACAAAAGGUUAUCUGUGAGUUAAACGUAAUAGUAAUUAAUCUGCUGUCUUUAGAUCUUAACACUAACAACACAAUUAAAUUGAGAAUUCCUAUCUUCUACAAUUGCAAUUUCCAAGAUGCCUUCACUCCUGUGAACAUACCCUGGUCCGAAUUUAGAGAUUUUCAGGGUUACCUUUAGAAAUCUGUGCACAGAUGUUUUUCCAAAGCACUGUGUAAUCAUCCCAAACAACUGGUUUUAAUGGGCCAGUUAUUUUGGAAAUCACGUAAUGAGAACAUAAAUACAAUCCCUGAUACUGACAUAAAACAUGUAUUAGCAAAAUAAUAUAGUUUGUAUUUCCCUGAUACAGAGCAGACCCUGGAAAUACAUAACUCAUCAUGUCCUUAAACUUCUGUUAUGUCUGUAAACAUCGAUAUUGGCAGAGAGGCCCAGCAGCAUCCUGGGCUGCAUUAGGAAGAGCAUUGCUAGGAAAUCAAAGGAGGUGAUCAUUCCCCUUUGCCCAGCACUGGGGAGACUUCAGUGGGAAUGCUGUGCCCAGUUCUGGGCUCCCUGCAGCAGGGAGGACAUGGACAUGCUGGAGUGAGGGCAGGAAAGGCUGUGAGGAUGGAUAAGAGGAGCAUCUGUCCUGUGGCUGCCCAGGGAGGUUUUGAAGUUGACGUCGUUGAAGGAACUCCAAACUCAACAGAGCAAGGUCCCGAGCACCCUGCCCUGGGUGAUCCAGCUUCGAGCUGGGCUUGGGCUGAGUGAUUCUCCAGACUGGAAAUGUUUGAGGCAGUUUGCUUGUGUCUUGUCAGUGUUUUAGCUGCAACUCGACUGUGGAGGAAUCCUAAGGAGAGCAAAGGCUGUGACCCUAGAAAUUCAUCCAGAUGGCUGAGGCCCAGAAAAGGCAUAAUGGGAGCUGCUAAGUAUUCUAAAUGUCUCAUCAGAGUGAUAUUUCACUUGAAAAUACAAAAUAGAAAUUAUUUGGGUCUCAAUGACACUGAAUACCCAUAAUGUUCUCUCACUUCAGCUGGACUGCAGAUGGUAACAACCUCUCUCUAUCUAAACACGCUUGUUUUAGUUUAAUCUUGCUCUGUAAAAUUUUAACAUAUAUUUUUCUCUAGAAAUUAAUACUUGGUGCUUUAUGGUGCAGAAUUUAUUUGCUGGUUUGUUCCACAUUUUCUUUCCUUACUAGUACUGAUAUUAACAAAUUGCAAUUUAUUUUGGCAUAUUACUUCAGUAAUAAGCACAUACUAUGUCUCAGGGAGUUGAGAAUAUCAUAAUUUGAGCAAGGUAAAAUCAAAAUAUAUAAUUACAUUGCAUAUUCUAUGGCACUAAGUUUGUAACUAUUCUUACAGUACCUUCAGAAUAAGAAGGAGGAUGAAAUUCAAAAAGGGCUUUCAUAGUUUAAAAAGAUUUCUGUUGAAAGCUUUAUGUUGAAACAAGAUUUAUGUUGAAAGGCAAAGAAUUUUUAUUUUUUUAAAAUCAGCUGAAUAGUGGUUGGAAGAUUCACGUGUGGUUUUUCUUUAUGAAAAUGCCAAGGAGCUAACUUGCAAUAUUGAGAAUUCUCAGAUCCUCCUUUUGAAAAUUCUUUGUCUUUUAUAUUGCCUCCAAGGAAAAAGGAAAGCACACUGGAAAACAAGAAAUUGAGCAACAUUGCACAAGCAAUUAGGAAAUAAAUAGAUUAUAAAGCACUUUAUUUUAUUUUGAUUUUGCACUUCAGCAAGCGAAACAAUAAGUAAAUAACCUGUUUCUUUAUUAUCAAUAUAUGGAGUCACAUAUAGUAGUGACAGACCAAGGCAUAAAUGUAUAAAUAAUAAUAAAUAUAAUAAUAACAAUAAAAAUAGAAAUUAUAAUAAUAAAUAUAAAUAAUAUAAAUGUAUAAGUAACACCUGUGCUAAUUAUUAGAGGACAUCAAAUUUUGCUAGGGAUUAGCCCAUUGUGGAACCAUGAAAUUGAGACUUCAGACAAAAAUAACACAUGAAGGUCAAAUGUACUUAGUCAUUGGUUGCUGUCUCUGCACCACUUUCCCCUGAAUUAAUGCUUUUACAGCACACCUCUGAUUCAGUCUCCCCUGUCCUGUGUGGGAUGGGGUUUUUGGUGGGGAGAGUAUUACUAAAAAUUGACACCUCUAGCAGCAAUUCCUACUUGUACUGAUUUCCUUUUAUAAAUGUGUAACCUAUUAUAUCUAUCCAAGCCUGGCUAAGCUCCAAGUCACCCAUUUCUCAGUAAUACAGGAAAUUAAAUCUAAUGUCUAAUAAGCAUAGAGGCUUAUGCAACCUUCAUUCCCAGUAAAAAUAUAAUAAUAUUACCUUGUCUUUUGAUAGCUAGAGAGUUGGGCACUUAGUUUUUAUGUAGACCAAAGUGGCUCUGCAUUUGGGCUUGAGGAGUCUGGGUUUAUCCAUCCUUUUUUGCAGACUUACUGAAUUUCACCUCAAAAAUUCUCCACUUAUUAAAGGCCCCCCUGAAUUGUUCAUGUGUAGGGUUUGGUCCCUUUCACCACUUCUCGCUGUGGUAGGAACCCCCUUUGUUCCCACAGAGGGCUCUGUCCCCUGUGAUCUCAUCCUGGGAGUGCUGCUGCUUGCUUGUUCAUUCUCUCUCUCCCAGGAUUUUGCAGCCUGAACAGAUUUCUGCCUGUUCCAUCUCAUUUUCUGAUAAUACCACCACAGCUCUGUGUCAGUUGGUGCAGCCUUUAAAAAUGCAGAAAUCUGAUUUUAGGCCAUACAGGUUAACAUAAUUUCAAGGCUUUGUCUCCUGCAUGUACUGGUUCAAUAAGUGGAUUUAUACUGGAUAAUUUUAAACUGUUACAGCCCUCUGAUAGCAUUUCUCUCUUGCUGCUGUAAUACAUAAAGUGACAUAAGGUCACUGAUGCUGUGGAAAUUGGUUUUGGAGUUGAUAUGCUAAUUCAGCAAGAAAUCAGUUCUAGCAGAAUUGCAAAGAAAAUUAUUUUAAUCUAGCAUCAUGCUACUUUGUUGGCUUUUAGGAAAGAGAUAAUUAAAAUAUUCAAGGGAGUUCCAAGUCUGUGGAAAAAAUACCAUUUUGGAGAUUUAAAGUUAUUUUUGCCUCACAGUUUAUUAGCAUCUUUUCUGAAAGCAAGCUGAAUGUGAUGGGCACAAAUAUGACAUUUUCACAUGCUGAAAAAAAUAAGAAAUGAGAUAUUUUUUAAAGCUGAGUUCUGUAUAAGAAUAAACUUGGUUCAGUCUUUUCCGUGUCACUCACCCCAUGUUUACAGUAACUGCUCCUGCAAUUUUGUGGAUGAAAACUUCCAUCAGAUAUGUUCAGGGCCAUUAAUGAGGCUGCAUUAUGCAACUAAUUGCAACAGAGAACAAAAUUACAUUAAUGGUGCCUGAGGAGAAAGAGAAUCUCUGCACUCAGUGUGAGUAAGGGGUAGCCAAUGCCUUACUUUUUCCAAAACAAAUAUUUAAGUUAAAUUGAGAACAAUAGUUGAUAUCUGAGAAUGAUCACUAGGAGUUUGAAAGCCCUAUAUUUUUUCAAAACACUGUCUUAUGUCUUAAGGAAUUUCCAAGCACAAAAAAUAAAAUAACUGUAGUGUUCACUGUAUGAGUAUGCCAAAGGAAAAAAAAUUGGCUCUUUGAUAAACUCUUUCAUCUUUUUGAGAUGAAGAACAGAGAAAAUGCAUUUCUAAGAAAUAUUUUUUUCUAUUGUCUGAAUUGUAAAAGUAGUGCUGUCAUUGUCAUAUUUUAAAAGAAAUUUUAAUUCUAUAAUAAAGAAAAAAAGUUGUCAUUUUACUCUCUGUUCUUUCAUAAAGCAGGUACAAUGCUGCUGUUUGCAGAGGAAGGACACCAACUGCAACAAGAGUAGUGUCUGUUCUAGAGUGAGGGAUGAGCUCCACUGGAGAUGAGUUGGCUUCCCUGGCUGCAGUGCUCAGGAUUUCAUUUUAGCAGCUCUGAGAUUGAUCCAAGUCUUUGUCUCCUCCUGCACUUUAUGCUAAUGCAAGUACCAGCUUGUGUGUUAUUGAAGAGAGAGAAAUAGAAAAUGCAAUUCAAUGUUUUAUUUCAUGCUCCCCAAGUUUAUUCAGACAGACACACCCAGAGUGAAUGUGUGCUGCACUCAAUUUGGAGAUCUUGUGUUAUAAAUUCUGGCUCCCCUGUGCUUUCCUGCUUUGCCCAUAGAGCAGAUAAGGGAGUUCAUAACAGGAACACCCUGUUACCUCAGCUGCAAAGGGUUCUGAGAAUUUAAUGGCCAAGAGAGUGGAAUUUAAAUUUAUUUUUGUUCAGCUUGUGUCAGCAAGCAUUUAAAAGAUCCACCAAUUUAUCUUUGUCAGAGAUUGUUUUUCUUUUGGCUUAGCUUGGACACAAAUCUCACUGUUGGGCUUACGUUUAUGGAGCAGGACCCAAGGUUUCUCCAUGUGUUCAGUAUUAGGAUUUCGACUUUGCAAGUCUUGUUGCUUGAGAUAGGUGUAAAAGUCAUGUCUGCAUGUACAGCAGGAACAGAACUGGGGUUUGGAUGCUGCUACUUAGUCAAUUGAGAAGGAACAAAAGUAGUUUUGAAGGCUGCCUCUCCUCUUGGCUGGCAGGAAGAAGAGUUGGUAAAAGCUGCAAAGACAACUGAGCACCCUGAUGAUGGUAUGUAUUAUGCAUUUUAUUUUGUAGGUGGAUUUUGAGGAAUAGUUUUUAAAAUGUAGUGAUUUUACUGUCAUUUGGCAAACCAUGUGUGACCAUAGCUGUUUUUCCAAAAUGCCUGGUUCACUUGCUUUUGUUGCCGCCAGUCGAGUUCUCACUCCACGUAGUAAUGUCCACAAGGUGGUGCCACAGCUAAGAAGUUUGCAACAAAUAAGGCAAAAGUAAUUUGAUAAUUCUAUCUGCUUUUUGUGACUUGACUAAAGAUACUAAAGUAUCUGCAUCAUUAAAGAGUUAAUGAUUAUUUCAUAAGCCUGAUAUCACAGGUUUGCAAGCUCUUUUUUUAAACCGCCUGUGUGAGCAGAGAUGGGUUGGUCUGUCUGCUGAGCGAGAGCCACAUCCACACACGCCUGUGACUGUCCCAAAUCUUGUACAAAAAUGAAGAGGCAGCUCAGGGUUUAGCAGACAGGCUGAUGCAGAGCUGUGCAUUUCCUAGCAGGGUUACCUGUGCCAGCACUGGCAUCUGUCUUAUGUUUUUGUCUGGGUCACUUCAGCAGGAAUCUGCUUGAAUCCUGACAAGCAGAAUAGUUCAUCCACAAUUUCAGCCAAGACAGUUUCCACUUACCCUAAAGUGGCUGUGGCACAUCAGACCCUAAUAUCCUGAGUUUUUUCUAGAGCCAGGGAUAGCCAGGCUCCCUGUCCUAUGCUAAUCUACAUCUGCCUGUUAAUUCCACAGGGGUAUGAGGUGCUUACAGAGGGACUGCACAGAUGCUCAAGUUUACGAGCAUCUUUCUAGAAGAGAUCAGACUAGGGAAAGCAUGAGGCAGUAACAGGGAAUGUAAGAUGUCAAAUGUACUGUCCUGUGUAGAAAAGAGAAUAAAACUUCCAGGAAAAGGUUGUUUGUAUGGAUCUAGAUGUCUGCACUGACUUGUGUGUCCCAGAAGAGCUGAAGUGCAGCAGGAGUUGGCCGUUCCCCUCAGGUAUGUGUCAGUUCUUCAGCUACCCUUGGCCACAUGGUGCUUCUUGCACCCUUGCCCUGCUCCCCUCAGUGGCCUCUGCAAUCCAGGCAUGCAUGCUAGCACAAGAAAUACUCCCUCUCAGCUUCUGCAGUGGACAAAUUAAAUUUGAAUCAUUUAUUCAUCACAUAAUUUUGUACCAAAAGCAGCAAGAAAAAGGUAUACUUUAAAAUACCAUUCAGACAAGCGCUGCAUUGACUUGCCUCCAGCUAGAAUCUCUCUUUGGUAGGCCUGUAUCAGAAAGAGAAAAAUAACAGGGUUUGCAUAAUAUGUUCCCUCUAAGUUGGUACAUUAUUUUUUUAAAACAUACUAAAAUUCUUCUGGCUUGUAAGAGACACAGUGGAAAUUAGGUAUACCCAGGAAAGAUAGUUUGUCCCCAAGUUAUAAAGCAGAAUUAGAGUUAGAAGCUUAUUGAGUCCAAUUCUGAAAUUUGUCAAGUAACACAAUGGCCACCUAUUUUUUUAAAGGAUCAUAUCUAUAAAUUAUAUUUUAAAGUAGUUUACAGUAUUUUGAAACUUUAUAUUGAUUUCAUCAUCUGUUUGGAAAAGUCAUUAUCUAAUCUGAGAACUAACUAAAAAUAUAAAGCCAUGAACAAGUCAAGUAGAUUUUAUUUCUGAGUCAGUCUGUUGAGUUAGUUUGAAAUAACUGAAACAUGACAGUGACAUUGUCAGAGUAUUCCUGUAAGAUUGUUCUGAGUGUAUGGCUGCAAUAUGUCUCAAAAUUAAAUUGACAUAUUUCUGGUUUAGUUUGGAUUUUGCAUUUUCUUUGACUUCGCAAAAUUGCUUUCAAAAAUAUUUAUUUUUCAGGUAUUUUGCACAGAAAAAAACUAUGCUCUCUUCUAAAGGGAGAGAAUGAGUAUCUAAGAUCAUACAUCUAAGUCUCCAUGGUGUGAAAACCCCAGGCAAUCAUGAACAAAACUGCUUCAGCUCUAUGCCAGAGUCUUCCUGGGAGGAGGUGACUUGCAGAGUUGUGAGUUAGGAGUCAGUGUGAGCAGAAAUCCUCGUGCAGAUGCAGGGCGCUCACCGGAAACAAUUGAGAAUGGCAGUGGUAUCCUGCAGGAUGUGUGCGACGUGCUCAGCUGGGGCUUGAUUUACACAGGGCCACAUUAUAGAUUAUACAUUCUGGUAAUUGUGGUAUUGUUAUUGCUGGGCUGGAUCUAAGCACAGGAAGUACAUAUAAGCACAUUUGAAGUGAUAAUAUCCACUCUUGUUUGAAAAGCAAUAUUUUAUUCUCGUCCAUAAUACAGUGUCUGUGAGGGAAAAUAGAUAAUUUAUUAACUGGUACUAGAAAUACUAGAAAAAAAAUACUAGAAAAUAGGUAAUUUACUAAUUAGUACUAGAAAUUCUAGAAAAAACAUAAUACUAGAAAAUAGAUAAUUUACUACCUAGCAUGACUUCUAGGGAAAAAAGCUGAUUCAUUAUGGGAAGCCACAAUCAGGAUUUACAAAUAAAUCCACUUUAAUUUUUACUUUUAAUCACUUUAAUUUAUUUUUUUUUCAGACUGUAAUCCAAGAUCAGGAAGGAGACAAUGCAUUGCCAUCUGAAACACAAGAAAGAUCAAAAUAAGUUUUCAAUGUGCCACCAAAACCACAGUGCUAGGUUUCUGUUGAGGUGAAUGAGUAAUACCAUUCUAGCUGUGAAGGUUGCUGUGAGUGGGUAAUAAUUCCAUCUAACUGAUAGGGCAGAUUAUGCAUUCUGCAAGAAAAUAAAUAUUCCCAGGUAAAAUCUUGCCCAAUUUCUUUAGGUCAAUAAGAGAACCCACCUACUUUACCCACUUAGCUGAAGUUGCUCUAUGCAUACUUGUCUAACUUUAGGAUUCAGGGACAGGUCUGUUCUCCAUCCUUACAUCCCCAAACCAGCCUUGCUCAGGAACACAUUGCCUCCAACCUUGGUGUGGAGCAGGAAUCUGUUCCUGCUGCUGCUCCCAGAAUGUGGGAUGACCCCCAGCUCUGCAGCUGCAGACAAAAUGUGUCAAGGCCCCUCUCAGAGCCUCUCUGCCCAUUUCUCUUUAACACAAUGUAGGCUUCAGACCUUUCUGUGUACCCAGGGAAUUUACUGGUCAAGCCAGGGCUCCCUGCUGGAGGGGGAUAUGUGUCUAUUCAGAACAGGGAUGCAAUAACCAUUCAAAUUUUGUGUGCCAACCUGUUCUCCACAGACAACACAAACUGACAGAACACAGGUAACAUAUUGUGAAUGCUGUGCCUAUUUCUUACUUUGUUUUGCCAGUGAAAAUAGAUUAAAAUUGAUAUUAAGUUUCCUUCUUGUUCCUCCAAUAAUAGAAAAUUACCAGGGAAGAGAAAAUAAGAUGGAUUUUGUUCUCUAGAAAGGCCUUCAGCUAAAUGUUUUUUUUUUCUUUUAAUAUUAUGAAACAUUCUUGUCUGCCUUAAUAGAUGAGAAAAGUAACAGUAGAACUGUGAAACAAAUUAAUACAUCAGAAAUAUCAAUCCUUGGACCAUAGCUAAAUCUAUAUUCAUAUUUAUAAUAGUACUGCACAUCAAUAAUACAAAGCUAUAGUGAUUCUAUACUGUAUACAUUGAUUUGUUGAAAUGAUAGUUAUAGGUGAAGUUCUAAACAGACACUGCAACAUAUAAUAAAGGACUGACCUACUAACAGAUCUAAUAAUAAAACAGAUCUAAUAAAAACAUCUAGUAAGACAAGCUCAUACAGUCUUAUUACAGUAAGUAAUCCAAAGCCUAAUGAUUUGUUUCACAGGUUCAUGAAAAACUUUUUAUUUGUUCUUUCUGUGUUAUUUAACAUUAAGAAUACGUUUUCCUUUAUAAUUCUAAAUGCUUCUGGUCUGAAUUUUUUUGUGCAGACAGUCAAACUAACAUUGAACAGAAGUAUACUUUUUCCAGAUGUCAUACUUAGAAAAUUUUGAAAUUAAAAUCCUGCUGAUGCCUCCUAAUAUUAAUAUGUCUUUUCAUUGGGGUAGGCUCAUUACAGUCUUCUUUUGGAAGUAUCAUCUGCUUAAGUAAGAUUUGAUUUACAAAGCAAUGCUAAUGUGUUUCAUUUUAAUUAAGAUCUUCACUAUUUUCCUAAAUAGGAAUAUCUGUCCCUAGUUUUAACUUGUAAUAUUCUGUUUAACAAAAGAGCAGCUUCAAUCAUACUGAGAGUACUUAUGCAAGUUUUCACAGUUGAUUGCUGGGAUGAGAGCUGUAAAAACAAGGAUCAGGUGAAGAUCCUUUCUUGGAUAUGAGCCUCUAUUUUUAUUUGUAGUUCAUAAGUCUACUUAUUAAAUAGACAAUAAUGACUAUAAUCAAAUAUAUUUAUAUUUUUGUGUGUCAUUGGAGUCAAACAGCAACCUACAUGGCUGCAGUGUGUGUGAAUGUUCCUGCAGUAAAUUCAGGUUUUGGCUUUCAUUAGGCAGUAAGACAUGUUGCCUGCAAAAAUAUCACACAACUUGAAAAGAAGACUCUAAUUUCAUAUGGGAAAUUAUUUCAUCCCUCUUACAUGAGAUCAAAAUCACUAUGCCUUUAAUCAUUACUAUGGAAAUGAAAAUACCAGGCCACCAGGAUUUGCAAUUAACUUGAGACAUCCAGAGGAAAUUCUGUAAGUUGCUUUAGUCUCUGUAUUUUGUCUUGUCUGAAAUCUGUCUGAUUUUUGUUUGAGUUUAUAAGAGCAAUUGUUAGUGGAAAUGUCUGUGUUUCAAUUGAAGUGUUCUAACAAGUUUUCUGGUCUCACUUGAGCAGAAUAACAACACCCAAAACAACUGAGAUGUCUUUAGGUCUUAGAUAUUUGGUUUAAAUAUUCUAUGAAAUACUUGAAAAGGUAAGAGUUCCUGAAGCAUCAGAAGACAGAGAGUUUAAAGAUCAGACUGAGCCAUGCCUCCUGCAUUUAGUUCUCCAAUAAAUCUGUCAGGACACUGACCAGCUGGGCUGCCAGAUGUCCUCCUCCACAUUUUGGGUAAGUAAUCACUUGGGCCUGGGAUCUGCUGGACUACCUAUGCCUGAACCCAUUUGCAGUUAUUUUAGGUGACAUACUAAAGUGGUCAGCAUGAGCUUAAAAGACUUUAUCCAGCACUUUGACAGCAUGCCAAAAGAAAUUCCUUGGGAUUUACAGUCUAAAAUUUCAUUUCAAUUAAUAGUCAGGAUGCUGAAUAUUAUUUAUUCUACUCUAAAGCUCAUUUUAAUCUAAAAUAUGGUCAGAUAGGGUCAAUGCAGGCAAAAUUAUAUUUCUUCCUACAUAGAAGCCCAUCUAGAUAUAAGCCAGUUUGGUCUCCUGUCCCUAGAUUUGGUCUGCAAGGAUAACAGGAAUGGCGACUGCAGCUGGCCUAGGAUUCCCUUGCACUUGAAGCUCAAAUAAUUAGGCAAGUCUACUUUCCCACCAAAUAAAAUUAUUAUAAACAACAAUAUUAUGAAUUGAAACUUCUCAAAGUUGUUAAAUUCUGUCAGGUUUGGAAGAGGAGCUUUAUCAGGCAGAUCCUCAGCGAGGCAUUGGAGCCCAGUGGGCAGAGUGCUGGACAGGGAUUGAGAAAUCUGAGUUCUCUUCCAGACUCUCCUGACUUUUAAAUGACCUUGAGCUGUCACUCCCUUGUGCUGUGGUUUCACAGUCUGUAUGAGCAGGAUAAUAAUCCUCCACAAAGGUUUGAGAGUUGCUGAAGGGAGGACCUGUAUGAACAUAACAUUUCUUGCCCUAGCCUGAGCUAGGUGCAGCUGUGAUUAGAGGUGGCCAGGAUUUGGUCAAUUCCUCAUCUAUUCCAGAAAAUCUGGGAAAUUUUCAUUGUUAGACUCCUUGCUUUCAGCUGUCUGUCAAAACACAUGUUCAUGCUAAAGGUCUUUCUUAUCUUUCAGACCAUUACAAAAUAUCUCCAGAAAAUUUCACUUGAUUUAGUUAUGCAUUAAUACUCAGUUCAUAUUCCUGUUACUGGGAACUGCAAAGUGCCUCUCAGAAUCAUACAGAUAAUUACUUAACAUGGAAGAUGUAUCUUUGACCUAAAAAAGAAAAUACUUUUGCAAUAUUAUGAUUAAUAUAUGUGGGGAAAAAAAAUCUGUUGGUUUAUGUUGUCAGAUAUCUCAAUUUGACUUUCAGUUUGAAAAAUUCCCCUUGAAAGUACGAAUUUUUUUUUUUUCAAAUUAUAUCUUGAUUUUACACAUUUUGUGUUAAUAGACAACAAGCUCUGUGCACAAAAAAGAACAGUCUACUUUCAAAACUGCUGAAUGGUUUGACCUCAAGGGAAUAUAAACUGUUGACUCAUUGUUUUUACUGCAUAUAAUAUUAGUCCUUUGUCACAUCCAGGGAAUGACAUCAUCUUCCUCAUUGUUAGCAGCAGGUUUGAAUAACAGAAAAAGUGCAGCAUUAGUUGUCUGCUGUGUUUGUUCUUAAUAAAUGAAUGGAUAUCUGGUACCAAGAAUCAGAUUAGGGUUUUUGAGUAACAUUUAGAAGAAGUUUGUGCCCAGACCCUGCAAGAGCUUUGCUCCUGGCCACCAUCUGCAGGGCAGUCGAGCUGGCAGGAGCACGGAGCCUGCAGAAGGAACAUCACUGAUGGUUCUGCCUGCUCCAAAGUGAUAAGAGGAAAGAAGAGACUAAGCACAGAACGAAACAGAACUGUUCUUCAAGGUCAGCUCAGUAGAAGGAAUCCCUGUGCUUCUGUGAAUCAUACUUCUCUGGAAUCUAAAUUUAUGAAAAGUAAUUAUCUGAAAAGAAGUCAUCUCUAGGACACACAAACAAAAAGGGAACUGGUUAUCUUCAAAAUGCACCAUUUGAAGUAUUUCAUCCAUUCCAAAUUUUAUUCAUGUCUAUUAAUUUUCUACUCCCUAUAACUGAAGUAUCUAUGUCCUAGACUCAAAGAGUAAUUCCUUAUCAGAAGCAUUUGGUUAUAUCUGCUUCAUGGAAGAGGGAAACAUCAUUACAGCAAGUGAUCAGCCUGCUGGAAGUCUUCUUUGAGGUGAUAAACCACCUUCUUCUAUGGCAAAGAAAGUUUUAAGUGUUGCUUCCUGAACAAUAAAUAUUUCCAGUGAAAUAGAGUUAACUGAGGGAGAGAUUCCUUGAGAGUCUGACAAAGUGCCAAAUCCUAAUCUGCAUUACCCACUGCCUCUAAGUUUUCCCAGGAAAAUAUGAUUAUUUAACUAUAAAAUUAUACCUUCGUGGUUCCAAAAAUAUUUAUGCUGAAGAUAAGUUCCUGUGUUGAGAGAAUGAAUCAAACUGCACUUUGAAAAGCUGAAAUCCAUACAGCUGUGAGAGGAGCACCCAGGCAGGAGGCUGGGAAAACUGGAGCCAAUGGGUUAAGGAAUCCAGGAUGGCUUAAUCACAGAGAUCCACAUGAGUGGACUCAGGCAAGGGCUACACACAUGGAAAUACUUCUGGAAUACUAGAGCUAAAAAUGAAAACACAAGCUAUGCUGUAAGAGAUCAGAUCAGACCUUGUUGGCUUCAAAGCAGAAGAGAUCUCAUGUAUUGACCUCUUCACUCAUGCUGGUAGAGAGACAUGCUUUGCAUGUAAGAGGCUCAGGUUGGAGCAGGUGCAUCUAUCCUAAUUCCUAUCCCAAACUUAGAUCCCAAUUUUCAGACUUACCUGUAACGAGAAGUAAGAAAUGCUACACUGUUUUUCUUUAUGUUUCAUAGAUUUUUGCUAUUUUCUGUUCUGAUCCAGAGUUCAUCUUCAGUCAACAUUUCCAAAAGGUCUCAAGUAGCAUGAAUUUUGGUGAGGCCGAAUCACUUGAUUUUCCCUUACCCUGUUUAGAAGAGGCUUUACAUGGACAAAAGCAAUAAUGCCAGCCAUUUCCCUUCAUCCUUUAAAAUUACUGGCCACCUCUAAAGAACUUGGCCUCUCUUUUGUGUCAGUUUUUGACAACUCAUUUGAGUUAAACAGGUUGCUGAGGCCAAAUUAAAUGCUUGGGAAAUGGACCAUACAAUUAAUUUGCAAUACUAAGUUGUCUCAGCAUCAUUUCUCUUCCUCUCAAGGGGAAUGCUGGCUCAAGCAAAAGAAAAGAUUAACGUAAUAAAAAUAUUCUAAAGACAUCCUGUUAAUUGUCCCAAGCUCAGAUGGUAUUGUCUAUUCUGUUGUGCACAGCCAGCAAACAGUGUAAAAUCCAGAAUUCCUUCCCACCAUGAAAGCAGAGCUUCAGUGCUACAGGAUAAUCCCUGCCUUUCUGGAAAGCAGAUGAAAAUGUGGUGUGGCAGAGCUUUGCUUUGGUUUCAGAGGUGAGCUCAAUUUUGCCCCAUUUAUGAAUAUAAUAAUAGGACUUGUUAAUCUAGACACAUCAGCAAUUUCAGUUGAGAGAAUAAAGGUUUGUGAAAAAAAGAAAAAUUGCAAGCAAAGUAACAAAAACUUGGGGAGGCAAUUUUUUUUUUUUCUCUGAAUGUGCAAAAGAGGCCUCCCAUGUUUAUUUGGGGACAGAAAACACUUGAGGUUUUAAAUUCAGCCAAACCAGAAAUUUUCAUUUAUAAAUACAUUUGUAGUGUUGACCUUGAAUAUCACAUUAAGUGGCAGCAAACCUCAUAGAAAAAUAAGUUAAUGUAUCAAAUAAAACUCAGAAAUAUUCACAAGUUACUGAGCAAAGCUUGCAAAAGAGAUUAAACAAGAGGCUGUAAUUCUCUAUUUGCUCUAAAAUUUCCUUAACAGGGACAAAGUCUGAUUUUUGCUUAUAUGAAAAUAGUCAUAAAAUAUGUAGGAAAACACAGAACGUUGUUUGCUUCAGUUCCUGUAAACUAAUCAGGCUGGAGGAUGAGUCUUCCUGUAAGUGGGAGCACUGCUGAAUACUAUGCAUGAAACCCUGUUCCUCCCCUCAUAAACAGCUCGAGCUUUGCCUGUGUAUCAGUGCAGAAAAAUAAGUAUUGACUUAUUCACAAAUUACUUUUUAGGCAUUGGAUUCCCAGAAAUAUAUUUGUAUAACAGCAUUUAGAAGCAAAUGAGUAUGUUAAUAACCAGGUUUUCUCUCAUUUUAUGGCCUUAAAGACACUUUGAUCUUAUAAAAUCAUGUUUUUCCUCCCAGCUCUGAUGCUCACUUCCUACCUCUUCAUCUAAAAUGAAUUUUUGACAUCAAUUCAAUAUGCCCCUUUUCAUUUUAUUUCAGACUGCCAAUUAAGAUGUUUCUUGAUAUUUUAUCAAACAAACAGGUCCCCUACAAGAUGCUGGCUUGUUCUCAGGUUGUUUUUUUAUGUCUUUCCAAAAUGAGGUAUUUUGGAUGUGGUACAGUUUGUUCACAUGUCAAACAUGGAUAUUUUAAUUCUGUCAUUCCCCAGUACAGCAAUGAAAGAAAAUAAAUCAGAUGUUUUAUCUGAUUGUACUUUGAUCAGGUUUUUCUCUGUUCUCAAAAAGAACAGUGUGGAGCUUCACUUGCUCCACAAAAAGCAUUUUUAGCUCUGAAAGUAUUUUAAAGAUAUCUCAGAAAAGCCAGACCCAACACUUAGAGUUCUACUCAUCUUAAAAAAAGACUCACUGUUUUACCAUGGUCAUAAAUGACCAUUUAGGAUCUCCUGGUAUUUAAUCUCCACUACAUUAACUGGGAAAAACUUAUGAGUAGGAACCAAAAUUGGACAAAAUUUCACUUGCCAUAAUGCUUCCUAUCACUGUCCAUCACUGACAUAAGUGGGUGAUGAAAAAUGUCUGUAGUUGUGCUUCUGGGUACAUCCUGAUACUUGGCAGUCUAGGAAAUACUGACACUGUGUGUGACACAGGUGGGAGAGAUGUGUGAGCUUUCCCAUCAGGGAAUUUUGCUGGGUUUGAAGUAUAAACUGAAACAAAAAAUGUAAGUUCAUGGUGGCCAUGGAAAGCUAGAGAUUGUGAGAGGACUUGUGGUUUUUAGCAGAAAAGGUUGUGAAAGUAAUGCUGCCUUCUUUGUGUGAUACUCUUGGUAUAGGCAGAUGUUGCAGAUUGUUCUGAACAUUGAAGAAUUCCAGAAAAUAAUACAACUGUGAAAACCCAAAAUUUAGAUUUCAACUGUUUUUCAACUCCUUUAUUACCUUCUCAAAUUAUACUGCAAAGUUACAGAGCCUAGACAUGUGGGAAGUCUCCAAGGAAAAAGUCUGAGGAAGGCAUUCUUCAAAACAAUUUGCCAUUUAGUUUCUUCGGCAUGGUAGAAGCUAGAUAGAGCUGUUCUGCCUCCCUUCAGUCUUUCCAUUUAUAGAAAGUACCCAAUAACAUAUAAACCUUUUUGAAAUGUUUGGGAGACUUCUCUGUGCUCCAAGGGAGCUGGUGUUCUCAAUAUUUAUGAUAUGUACCAAAAAUGAUUUCUCUCUUUUAGUGUCUCCAGUGCAAAAUCAUUACAUUGCCAGAAAUAAAUUAAGCCUAACUUGUGGGGGAAAAAUAUUGGAUUUCAUCGUGUGUUUUAUAUUGUACCAUUAUGAAAAUGGUAUAUUAAAUUCAAAUGCUUCAAUUGUACCAUUAGAUGUUGUCAUUAUGUGGCUGGCUAAUUGAUAGGUUAUUCAAAUGAACAUUAUAAUUUUAGACUUCUUAGAAACAUCCAUGUGAAGAAUUUCCAAACUUCAGAGAAGUAAACUGGGUGUUAGAAAGGAAAAAUAUGUACUGAGAAUAUUUCCUAAUGCAUGUCACUGAAAAAUCAUUACAUAACUGCCGUGUGCAUUCCGGGACUUGGUGCAGUCUAUUUUUAAUACCGGUAUGAAAGAACUUCCUGCUACUUUUUCUCUUUGAAAGCUGCUUUGUGGUUCAUUAGAUCACAUUGUCAAGUUUUCUGCUAUCCUUAAACCCCAAUUUUUCCUACUUUUUUUUUUUAAUGGUUUGGUUUUGUUUUGCUUUGGUUUUGUUUUUUGUUUAAAAAAAAAAAAGGAAACUGUAUCAGAAGGAAGAAUGUGCUGAGCAUAAGAUACCUUGGAGAGUAAAGGUACAUUGUGUAAGUGUUGCAGUGGUCCCAGAACCAAACACUGCCAAACCAGGCCUAGUAUUAAACCCAAAAAGAAAUCUAAACAUAAAAAACACAUGCAUAUUUAAGAAAGGCAAAAGAAUUUGUGUGCCAUACAACAGUACCUAGCAAAAAUUUUCAACGUUCUGUUUAUGAAAACAGAUUUUUAUUUUUAUUAGAGUAGUUUUAAUUUCAUACUGAUCUCCAGUGUUAUCACAGGUCACCAUUUUGACCAUAAUUUGGAUAAUCAUGGCCAUUAACAUAAAGCUUUUUGCUUAAAUGCAAUGAAAAAUUUUCAAACACAGGCUAUGCAAGAGAUUUCAGAAUAUUUUAACUGCAGAGAAAGUUCACAACAUUAGUGUAGUUUUGCUGUUAAAAUCCCAGACAAACAGACUGAUAGAGGUGAGAUAGCCACAGGGACCAACAUUUUCACCUCCUCUGACCUCCUGCAAAACAAAGGUCACAGGACUUCCUCAAUUAAUUUCUUUUCAAACAAGAACAUACCUUUUAGGCAAUGGUACAGUCAAGUGACACUAAAAUCAGCUAAAAGUAUUUUAAAGUAUUAAUUUUAUAGACAAGAAAACGUUUGUACUCGCAAAUUAACAGGCAGUUAAUUUGUACAAUAAAAAAGGGCUUCUGUCACUCUUACUUUCAUCCCUAGCAGAGGAAUGGGGUGACAGUUUUUGGUGCCAAGCAGCGCUCGGUGGUAAUUGCUGUAACUCUUGCUGUGAACCUGCUCUGGAAGUCUCUGGCAGGGAGGCAGUGGAACGUGGCAGGACUGGAACAGGUCACACCUCAGCUGUCCUCCCUGCCACCACUCCCACAGCCACCCCUGCUGCCCUGAAACGCAGCUUUCAACAUAGGGAGCAGCUCCUGAGCUGCCUCGGCUUUCAUAGAAGGCAAACAAUCAAACUGUGGGAGAUGUGGAGCUUUUUGGGGACUGCUGGAUGAUGCUUCCCCUGGGGCUUGUGGUGGUAAACUGCAUUGAUGAGGAUAUCUAGGAAACCCAAAGCUAACAAAAUAUUUGGACUUCCCUUUCUGUUGCUUUGACAUUAUUCCACCAGAAGCAAUUCCUUCCCCUGUUCACUCUGCUGUCUCUGUAAAAUUUCAUUUUCACAGAAUACUUUUGGAUCAUUUAUUUUCUGCACUUCUGUAGAUCUUUCAAGUUGGUGUCAUUGCCAAAGAGAAUGGUCCAGUAGUCAGCUAUAGUGUUCCCAGUCUCAAUUGAGCACACUCCCCUCUCCCUCUUCACAUCAAAACACUCUGGAUUCAUUUUCCUUUAUUUUAAUUUUCAUUUUCAGAGGAAAUGUCUUCACCCCAAAAGGUGAAAUCUGACUGAGUUCUGCUUAUUUUAACAAACUUUUUAUUAAGAAAUUCAUUGCAGGUUACCUAGAAUUCUUACACUGCUCUGCUUAACCUUGUCCAGUUCUUCAUAAUAACAUCUUCUUUCCAGUUGCUUGUCACUGGGCUGGUAUUUUCCAAGCCAAGCAUCUGCCUCAGGUUUAUUUUUUGGCAGUUGCCAGCUAAACCACUGUAGUAAUUUUCAAGAACAAGGUUAAAAAAAUAUUUUGUCCAUAUUAAAAAAUAAUAAUCUGGUUGCUUCAUUUAGAAGUGUUGGUAUCCCCAUUACAGAAGGAAUUUGAAAUGGAACACCAUCACUGGCCUGCUUUCAUCCAUGCACCUUUUAAGCAGCAAGUUGGAAUUUGGCAGCAGCGUUGCUGUGGUUUCACAGAUGUGCAUCCAAAUGUAAAAAAAGUUAAAAUACUAAAAAAAUAAAUACAUCUCAGUUUGCAUGUGAUUGGUUAAGAAUCAUUCACUUUUGUCAUUUUGCUGAGUUUUCCAAAGGCCAGCUCGAGCUCAGGGAGCACGCCCCGCGUUCGGGGGCUUUUGCGGAGCGGCCGGGCACAGUCUGUGCCCAAGGGACCACGAGUGCUCCUCCCUUCCUGUGAGAUCUGGGUGCCUCUCCUCUGUGCAUCACCUCUCUUUCUCCUGCUGCUGCUGCUGAGAAAAGGAGGAUGGGUGACAAAGAUGAAAGAGUUUGGGAGGAGGUCUGCAACAGAGCAGAAAAUGAGAGGAAGGAGAAGAUGAAGACAGUAGAGUCCAAGAAGACAACUACUGCUGAGCAGUAAUAAUUCUCCUAGGACAUCAUGGCCAGAAAUCAGUUGUGGAAGCAGUUCUGCAUGACUAGGGAAAAAAAGAUUAUACAUAUUUACAUAAAGAGAUUCUGCUAAGCCAUGGGAAAAGAUAUGAUACAUUGGGUAAGGAAAUCAAUAAGCAUCAUGGAGAUAAAGAUAAGAUGCCAGAGGAAAUAAUUAAGAAAAAAUAAGAGGGUGGAUGUGUUGCUGAAGCAAGAGAAGCUAGGAAAUGGAAACAGAGUGUGAAGUGUGUAAGAAGGCAGGAGCCAGGGAAUGGAGAGAUGGAUAAACAGUGUGGAAGAGCUGGGAGUUACCUUAAAACAGCACAGAGGAGAAAGAGAAGGCAGGAGCCAGGCAGAAGAAAGAGCAUCAAGGGAGAGAAGGGGUGUGAGUACAGACUGAACUCUGAGAAUGGGCUGAUCUUCUGAGUCAGACAUAAAUGCAAAUUGUGAUUUAUCUGUAAUGGUAUAGGAACAGGAAUCAGGUAUGACUAACAUCUAUAGCCACAUUUUCUUUUCCUGUUAGAGAUCUUUAUCGCAUAUUCUGGAUCUCUUGAGCCAGAGCCCUGGAGUUAAGGUGACCGCAUGUCAUUAUCUGUUUAUUUUUCAGGCUUCCUCUCUCUGAUUUUGUUAACAAACAUUCAAAUGCCUAAAGUACAAUAUACGGCUUUCUUUAAUCAGAGUAAAAAGUAUUUCUGCAAAAUACAUUUGAAAGUGCUACAAGUAAUUUUGAAAUGAUAAGUAGGGCUGCCAGCAGUGUCUCUCACUGGCAGAACAAAGCAAGGCCCCGAAUUCAGCUCGAUGGCCUUUCACUGUGGGUGUUUGUCCUCGAAGAGGGCUUGCACCAUCCCCAUUACAUUGUGUGGAAUUCGUCACAGGGGUCAGCAGCACUGCCUUGGCAAUUUUAGCUCCCAGCAGCCAGAAACAUCGCCUGGAGAUACAGGCACAGAGAGUGGGAAAGGGCUGGGUGCUGCCCACGGGCAAAGCAGAGGUGGAGGUCACUGAGCCAGGGAGGGGAGUGGGACAUGUCCUGCCCCGUGGUAUUGCUGCAGCUGCAGAGACACCAGUUCUACUCCUUCAGUGGCAAAACAGGGGGAAACAUUGAAAUUUGCCCCUAACAUGAUGAUUCAGCUUGCAAGCAUUUGCCUUUUUUAUUUAAAAAAUUGGAAUUUCUUUAACAUAAAUGGAAAAUGCUUUCCCACAAAUAGUGUGUUUGGCUGUCACAUUUUCUGCAAGCUGAAGGCAAGCUUUGCAGAGCUGAGCUUUACUUUCCUUUUGAGAAUGAAAGCAGCAGUGCUGUCAGAAGAUUGAGUUGUUGGUGUAUAUCAGGUGAUAGAAAAAAUUAGUCUGCACAUGGUCUGACUUUUUUAUAUACAUAUACUUGGGAUCUGCAAGUGUUGAUUUGCUGUCUGUUUAUCUGUUUGUCAUACUGAUAGCUUAAAUCCACAAACUACACUUCUAAUAACAACUCCUAGGGAUAAGGUUGCUAUUACUGCUCGGUUCCUCCUAAAGAUUAAACAGAGCUAAAAGUUGGUACAUUGACCUAUUGCUUCUUGAGGCAGAUCUCUGUUCAAAUUGUGACCUACGUCCCAGCUAAAAAUGUGUUCAAUCUUUUCUUAAUUUGCAGUAGAUACUUGUGUACAUUACAAAAUCGUCUCACAAUUUGGCAAAUUAAGUUGUCUGUGGUUAGCUCUGGAAUUGCAGAGAUAUUGCAGUGCACUGCAGCAUUGCAUAAUGAGGUUCCCCAGACUUUUCUUACUCGAGUGAGUAACAGCAAUUCUUAUCUCUAGCGAGCAUCAGAUUCGUCCCGUUUUUGAGAAGAGAAUUAGUAUCAAAUAUACGAUGGGCAUGUUAUGCCUUGUGGCUGCAAUGUUGUUUCAAUUAACUUCCCUGAAUAUACCACAAUGAAAAGUGUCAGCUUUUUGCCUCAGAGGCCUAUAAUUAGAUUAAAUGAAUACUGUUAAUUAUCUACUACCUUCUUUACACAAAACAGUAUGUUUCCAUAAAUUAAAAUGCUCGUACAGGAAGGAAAUUGUUGUUCUCUGCAAUACAUCCAUACAGUGCUGGAUUGUGAAUACUGUGACUGUAUCAAAGUGUAGCACAGCUCUUUGUCUGCAGCCCCUAUUUUACAGGAGCUAAAACAAAUUACAUCUGAAAAAUCCACAGACAUUGGACUAUUUUAAAGCAUAUGUGUUGAUGCAAGGAAGUGAUAUUACUAAAUGUUACAGUGCUCAUGAAACAAAUACACUUCUCUCUUAAACAGAUGUUCUCUAUAAAAUUCUCUUAGAGAGAUUAAAUACAGCUUUGUUUGUGUACCUACAGUCACACCCUCAAGGACUAUGUUAUGUACAGAGAAAAAACUGCUUUUUCUAGCAGAGUGUACUUCUCCUUUCAGAAAAUUUUAAAAAGUCCAUUCUGUAGGAAGCAUUUACAGCAGUUAACAGCUUGAUUUCCAGGCCUGUGUAUAUUCCAGCUAGUGUGGACCGAAAAUCUCCUCUGCCUGUUCUCCAGCAUUACUAGAUGCAAGCAAAAGUUCCUGACUGAUCAAUUCAGUCCCAUCCUGGCAUGCCUGAUUUGGAAGUGCAGAUUUUCAAAUGGUGGUACAUCACCUCUGGGGUAACAUAUCUGAAGCAGAAAGUACUCUUUUUGAUUUGACAAAGUGUAUCCCAAUGUCCCUAUUUCCAUCAGAAUAGAUGUUAAUAACUUCAGGCCUGACCAUUCGAUCCUCCCUCACCAGAAAAUUACAAUUAACUUUAGCAGAAGCCCUCAUUCCGGCCUGCAGUAUACUCUGCAUAUAAAUGUGAUCUGUACCCAGGAUUGCUCUUGUGUUUCAUUAAGGUCAAACCCUGAAAAGCUUUUGAAUACUCAGUGUUCCUACAAGGCAUUGCAUUUUGUUGUGGUUUGUGCUGUGUAUCUGUUCCUUUAAAUGUUCAUUACCUCCGUGUAUGAAAGUGUUCAUUAAAAUAUCAUUGUGCUGGUAAUAAUCUUAA